rnacentral:rRNA from 1 species
GACGAACGCUGGCGGCGUGCCUAAUACAUGCAAGUCGAGCGGAAGUUGAAGAGCUUGCUCUUCAACUUUAGCGGCGGACGGGUGAGUAACACGUGGGCAACCUGCCCUGCAGAUCGGGAUAACUCCGGGAAACCGGUGCUAAUACCGAAUAGUUUUCGCCACCUCCUGGUGGCGUACGGAAAGACGGUUUCGGCUGUCACCGCAGGAUGGGCCCGCGGCGCAUUAGCUAGUUGGUGGGGUAACGGCCCACCAAGGCGACGAUGCGUAGCUGUCCUGAGAGAGUGAUCGGCCACACUGGGACUGAGACACGGCCCAGACUCCUACGGGAGGCAGCAGUAGGGAAUCUUCCGCAAUGGACGAAAGUCUGACGGAGCAACGCCGCGUGAGUGACGAAGGUUUUCGGAUCGUAAAACUCUGUUGUGAGGGAAGAACAAGUACCAACUAACUACUGGUACCUUGACGGUACCUCACCAGAAAGCCACGGCUAACUACGUGCCAGCCGCCGCCGUAAAAC